rnacentral:rRNA from 1 species
UACGUAGGGUGCAAGCGUUAUUCGGAAUUACUGGGCGUAAAGCGUGCGCAGGCGGUGCUGUAAGACAGGCGUGAAAUCCCCGGGCUUAACCUGGGAAUGGCGCUUGUGACUGCAGUGCUGGAGUGCGGCAGAGGGGGAUGGAAUUCCGCGUGUAGCAGUGAAAUGCGUAGAUAUGCGGAGGAACACCGAUGGCGAAGGCAAUCCCCUGGGCCUGCACUGACGCUCAUGCACGAAAGCGUGGGGAGCAAACAGG